GCCACAUCCAGAGCAUCACUCAGGGGGACAGAGUUUGACUGGCCCUUGGGAAUCCAUCAUAACUCCAAUCCCUCAUGAUACAGAUAAGGAAACUGAGAUCCAAGGAGGGGUGAGGACAUGCUUCCAGGUCCCAGAGCCAGCCAGUGGCAGCCUGGGAUGUAGAAACUGAAGCAUAGGGAGGCUCAGUAAUAUGCUGGAGGUUGCACAGCAGGUGAUUUUAAUAUGCAGCCAGAGUUGAGAGCCACUGUCUUGACUUGGAAGAGGCAAACAAGAAGCCGAUGUUACAACAUGAUUCAAUAUGAGGCAGUAUGACAAGGCUGGCGAGAAGAGUAUGUCGGUGCUGAAAUCAGAGGCACUUCUCCCAAGGGGCCCAGCAAAGGGAUCACAGUGACAAGAUAAACAUUAACUGCCACAGAAUCCUGAAUGUGGGCACCUCAGUAUGAUCGAUAGGAAAAGAAGAUCUUCUAAGAGCCCGUAGGGUUCAUGCGAAAGCAUUCGGGGGGUGGGGUGAGAUGAACAGGGUUGACAAUGUGACAGCCAAAGUACCCGGCUUUUG